CCCGCCGCUGCUUCCGCCGCCGCCGCCGCCGCCACCGCCGCCGCCGCCGCCUCACAGGCCUUCUCCACCGAUCGGUCCCAAAUCGACUGACUGUCUCCUGGAAGCGGGGGCGGGGACGUCAGGAGGAUCCAUUCGGCAGGGCCUCGUUCAAUCGCUUCAUUCAAAUGCAGAAAGCUCUGUGCUCAGCUUCAGUCUGCAGGGCUUCAGGAGACGGAGCAUUUUAGUACUCAAUGAUGCCAAGACAAAAGGGUGAGAGAAAAUGGGAAACGUUCGUGGAGAUGGUCCUAGGCAGAUAGUGGAGGCAACUAGAAGACCUUCAGUCUCCGGGCCGGCUUUCAGGUUGAGACAAAAACCCUAAGGCAAGCGCUUGCUGCCACAGCACAUCGACUAACACGGGAACCAUCCAGAGAAGAUCAGCACGGCCCCUGAACGUGGACGACACACGCACAUACGUGAAGAGUUCCGUAGCUUUAGUGAUGUCAGUCACCCAGAGGAAGACAGAUAUCCUAUGCCAUCACUUCUAGGUGGGAUCUGAAAUCUAUAUCUCCCAUGGAUUCUGACGACCUUGCCUGAUGAUGGCGGGUGAUGGGGGCAGAGAUCGAUCCUUCUGAGAAGUAAGUUGGCAAGCGCUUUAGUGAAGCCUCGUAGGAUUUACCCAGCGAAGCGAGUGCCUUCGUCCCUGGAGGCUGCGGAAACAGUGUCCUGGCCAUGCUGAUGGCAUCAGGCUUGCAGCGGGGGAAGGAAGGCUUCAACCCCUUUGGAAGUCAUACCUACCAUCCCAAGAACGUCUGGAUGACCCCUACUAUGUGGCAGUUGAAUGGGGGCCAGUUACUGGGGUUCAGCGGGUCCAGAGAGAGGAGGUCUGAGGCCUCUGGGGACAAAACGUUUGUACGUAUGUAUGUAUGUGUGUAUGGCCAGUUGACUGUUUUUGCGGUCCUAUAGGAAUCUUCCUGCCCCUGUCUAUUGAACAAUGGGAGUCAUCUUCCAAGUGCCCUGACACCAGACACCACGGCCAUUUGCCGAAUGGACAGAACAGACUGGGGCCACGUGUGCCACCCACCCUCUUUCCGGAGGCUGUGGUCCACUGUGUUUGCAUGAAAGUCAGUGAAGGAGGCAUCUCCUUGGGACUCGGUUCCGUCCCUUUCACGAGAGCCUCCACUUUGGAUGACAGCCAGCCAGCCAGCCAGCCCUCGAUGCCAGGGCAGUAGACGACUGCCAGGAAUAUCCCAUCCUUUCUGGAACCCUGAGUGUACCCACCUGUACAGACACAAGGCUGAAGAAUACAUGACGUUCCUUCCUAGUUGACAGCACUCCCCAUGUCACUGAAACAGUGUCCAGUACGCUGACGUCAUCUCCUCCCUCUCCCACACCCCCGCACGCGCACAAACACGCGCGCGCGCGCGCGCGCACACACACACACACACACACACACACACACACACACACACACACACUCUGUCUGUCUGUCUGUCUGUCUGUCUGUCUGUCUGUCUUCUAAGGAUGGAGAAGAGUUUGCUGAGCUAUUUCGGGUGCCCUCUCAUCCUAGUUCCUAUCUCCAAGUUGGUUCAAAGUCCAAAAGGCGGUCAAGCACUUAAUCAGAUAGGUCCCUCGUAAAGAAUGCCUCCCACAUCACGACGACAGGCUUCUUAGGCCAGCCGAGAAGCUCCUUCAGUUCUGCGCCCAUCUUGGCUCUAAGUUGAUAUCAGUCUGUUACGGAAAUGACAGGCCAGCCAAGAAACAAGCACCACUCGGAGGGUUGGAGUACUCAGAUUUAUUACGCCGGCGGGCUCAGAGGGGCUUCUGCUCCGAAGCUCUGAGCACCUCCAAGACGUGCACAUGAGGUUUCAUAGGGUUAAUUACAAAUAUGGGUCUAUUCGCCAAUAAGGCUCAAACAACAAAAAGCAAAGGAUCAGUACACUGGAGCUUAUCAAUUUGGAACAGAUCACGUUACUGACACUUGUUGAGCUUGGAUUUACGAGUUAGCUUGUUAGCCCAGUAAACUGACACUAAACUUCAGAUUUACGAGUUAGCCCAGCAGAACUUAGAUCAGUAAACGGACACUUAUCACACUUAGAUUUGUGACUUUAGCUUGUUAGCCCAGCUGGGCUUUUCCUUUACAAGUCCUCCAGGAUCCAAGAAAGCCACGUUGGAAAACAAGUGGUGAUUCUGAUGGGACAGGAGAUCAGUCAUUUGGGGGCGAAGGGUGGGGUAGGGAGACAUACCAGCCAGUCUGUCUGUUUUCACCCAGUGUGGGAGCCGUCCCAAAGAGAUAACUCGAGAAGAGAGAAACAGGGAGUUGACAAAGAACACGUGCAGUGGCGUGCCCUCCCCCCCACCCCAGGAGAAGGCCAAGCCAGAAGUCCCUCCGGAUGGCGGGCUCCGGACUCCGGCUUCCAGGGAAGCGAUUUUUUUUUUCCUCCCCAUUUCAGGCCCGGAAGAAGAGGGAGAGGCAGAGUGUCCUUCUCGGGCAUCCGCUGUUUCUGAAGCACGCUUGUUGCCAAAAGUUCGGCCCCCGUCCCCGACGAGCCCAAGAAUCCAGAGACAAGGUCUUGGAGCUUAGAAGCAAAGAGGCCAUUUUAUCGCUCUGCCGGGCAAAGGGGAUUCACAGCAGGCUAGCGUCUUCAAAACUGUGUACCCACCUUGGGGAUGGAGUGGGUGGG